AGCGUACACGGUGGAUGCCCUGGCAGUCAGAGGCGAUGAAGGACGUGCUAAUCUGCGAAAAGCGCCGGCGAGGUGAUAUGAACCUUUGACCCGGCGAUGUCCGAAUGGGGAAACCCAGUGUGAUUCGUCACACUAUCGUUAACUGAAUACAUAGGUUAACGAGGCGAACCGGGGGAACUGAAACAUCUAAGUACCCCGAGGAAAAGAAAUCAACCGAGAUUCCCCCAGUAGCGGCGAGCGAACGGGGAGCAGCCCAGAGUCUGAAUCAGCUUGUGUGUUAGUGGAAGCGUCUGGAAAGUCGCACGGUACAGGGUGACAGUCCCGUACACGAAAACACACAGGUUGUGAACUCGAAGAGUAGGGCGGGACACGUGGUAUCCUGUCUGAAUAUGGGGGGACCAUCCUCCAAGGCUAAAUACUCCUGACUGACCGAUAGUGAACCAGUACCGUGAGGGAAAGGCGAAAAGAACCCCGGCGAGGGGAGUGAAAAAGAACCUGAAACCGUGUACGUACAAGCAGUGGGAGCACCUUCGUGGUGUGACUGCGUACCUUUUGUAUAAUGGGUCAGCGACUUAUAUUCUGUAGCAAGGUUAACCGUAUAGGGGAGCCGAAGGGAAACCGAGUCUUAACUGGGCGUUAAGUUGCAGGGUAUAGACCCGAAACCCGGUGAUCUAGCCAUGGGCAGGUUGAAGGUUGGGUAACACUAACUGGAGGACCGAACCGACUAAUGUUGAAAAAUUAGCGGAUGACUUGUGGCUGGGGGUGAAAGGCCAAUCAAACCGGGAGAUAGCUGGUUCUCCCCGAAAGCUAUUUAGGUAGCGCCUCGUGAACUCAUCUUCGGGGGUAGAGCACUGUUUCGGCUAGGGGGCCAUCCCGGCUUACCAACCCGAUGCAAACUACGAAUACCGAAGAAUGUUAUCACGGGAGACACACGGCGGGUGCUAACGUCCGUCGUGAAGAGGGAAACAACCCAGACCGCCAGCUAAGGUCCCAAAGUCAUGGUUAAGUGGGAAACGAUGUGGGAAGGCACAGACAGCCAGGAUGUUGGCUUAGAAGCAGCCAUCAUUUAAAGAAAGCGUAAUAGCUCACUGGUCGAGUCGGCCUGCGCGGAAGAUGUAACGGGGCUAAACCAUGCACCGAAGCUGCGGCAGCGACGCUUAUGCGUUGUUGGGUAGGGGAGCGUUCUGUAAGCCGUUGAAGGUGUGCUGUGAGGCAUGCUGGAGGUAUCAGAAGUGCGAAUGCUGACAUAAGUAACGAUAAAGCGGGUGAAAAGCCCGCUCGCCGGAAGACCAAGGGUUCCUGUCCAACGUUAAUCGGGGCAGGGUGAGUCGACCCCUAAGGCGAGGCCGAAAGGCGUAGUCGAUGGGAAACAGGUUAAUAUUCCUGUACUUGGUGUUACUGCGAAGGGGGGACGGAGAAGGCUAUGUUAGCCGGGCGACGGUUGUCCCGGUUUAAGCAUGUAGGCGGAGGUUCCAGGUAAAUCCGGUACCUUUUAACGCUGAGGUGUGAUGACGAGGCACUACGGUGCUGAAGUAACAAAUGCCCUGCUUCCAGGAAAAGCCUCUAAGCAUCAGGUAACAUCAAAUCGUACCCCAAACCGACACAGGUGGUCAGGUAGAGAAUACCAAGGCGCUUGAGAGAACUCGGGUGAAGGAACUAGGCAAAAUGGUGCCGUAACUUCGGGAGAAGGCACGCUGAUAUGUAGGUGAAGCCCCUGCGGGUGGAGCUGAAAUCAGUCGAAGAUACCAGCUGGCUGCAACUGUUUAUUAAAAACACAGCACUGUGCAAACACGAAAGUGGACGUAUACGGUGUGACGCCUGCCCGGUGCCGGAAGGUUAAUUGAUGGGGUUAGCGGCAACGCGAAGCUCUUGAUCGAAGCCCCGGUAAACGGCGGCCGUAACUAUAACGGUCCUAAGGUAGCGAAAUUCCUUGUCGGGUAAGUUCCGACCUGCACGAAUGGCGUAAUGAUGGCCAGGCUGUCUCCACCCGAGACUCAGUGAAAUUGAACUCGCUGUGAAGAUGCAGUGUACCCGCGGCAAGACGGAAAGACCCCGUGAACCUUUACUAUAGCUUGACACUGAACACUGGUCCUUGAUGUGUAGGAUAGGUGGGAGGCUUUGAAGUGUGGACGCCAGUCUGCAUGGAGCCGUCCUUGAAAUACCACCCUUUAAUGGCUGGUGUUCUAACGUAGACCCGUGAUCCGGGUUGCGGACAGUGUCUGGUGGGUAGUUUGACUGGGGCGGUCUCCUCCCAAAGAGUAACGGAGGAGCACGAAGGUUAGCUAAUCCUGGUCGGACAUCAGGAGGUUAGUGCAAUGGCAUAAGCUAGCUUGACUGCGAGAGUGACGGCUCGAGCAGGUGCGAAAGCAGGUCAUAGUGAUCCGGUGGUUCUGAAUGGAAGGGCCAUCGCUCAACGGAUAAAAGGUACUCCGGGGAUAACAGGCUGAUACCGCCCAAGAGUUCAUAUCGACGGCGGUGUUUGGCACCUCGAUGUCGGCUCAUCACAUCCUGGGGCUGAAGUAGGUCCCAAGGGUAUGGCUGUUCGCCAUUUAAAGUGGUACGCGAGCUGGGUUUAGAACGUCGUGAGACAGUUCGGUCCCUAUCUGCCGUGGGCGCUGGAGAAUUGAGGGGGGCUGCUCCUAGUACGAGAGGACCGGAGUGGACGCAUCACUGGUGUUCGGGUUGUCAUGCCAAUGGCACUGCCCGGUAGCUAAAUGCGGAAAAGAUAAGUGCUGAAAGCAUCUAAGCACGAAACUUGCCCCGAGAUGAGUUCU
rnacentral:rRNA from 1 species